rnacentral:rRNA from 1 species
GAUGAACGCUGGCGGCGUGCCUAAUACAUGCAAGUCGAGCGAAUGGAUUAAGAGCUUGCUCUUAUGAAGUUAGCGGCGGACGGGUGAGUAACACGUGGGUAACCUGCCCAUAAGACUGGGAUAACUACGGGAAACCGGGGCUAAUACCGGAUAACAUUUUGAACCGCAUGGUUCGAAAUUGAAAGGCGGCUUCGUCUGUCACUUAUGGAUGGACCCGCGUCGCAUUAGCUAAUUGGUGAGGUAGCGGCUCACCAAGGCAACGAUGCGUAGCCGACCUGAGAGGGUGAUCGGCCACACUGGGACUGAGACACGGCCCAGACUCCUACGGGAGGCAGCAGUAGGGAAUCUUCCGCAAUGGACGAAAGUCUGACGGAGCAACGCCGCGUGAGUGAUGAAGGCUUUCGGGUCGUAAAACUCUGUUGUUAGGGAAGAACAAGUGCUAGUUGAAUAAGCUGGCACCUUGACGGUACCUAACCAGAAAGCCACGGCUAACUACGUGCCAGCAGCCGCCGCCG